GUGGCCUGCUGCUCCUAAAUUAACUAAGGAUUGCAGAGUCUGUCUCCCUGGAGAGGAGCUGUGUCAUAUGAGUAUUGGGGCACCAUCAGUUCCUCUACCCAACUGUGCUCCGUGACCCCACACGGGGGGGAUUCUGGUCCGUGUGCAGGAUUAGAUGAAAGUACUGGAAUGCCUAGUAGAUAAAAUCAACUAUCUGGAUUCAAAGUCUCUGCCCAGAGCUGCUGGAGGUGGAAGAAUUUGGGACGUUGUCUGCUCAGGAUGAAAGCCUGGAGAAUAACUGCAGAAGAGAAGCUUUCUGAAGUUAUAAAUAAUCAAAUGCCCAUGGGGAGGAUGACUUCAUUUCUAACAAUACAGUAACAAUCACAGCUCAAAGGACACACAAAACUAAUGGAGUGUCUUCUCAGGAAGAGAUAGUUGUGGCUUAGUUUAUGGUAAUGUUUCUGGAUCCCCUCAUCCACUAGUAGCAAUCACAGAGGCGGGACAAUGGAGAGAAUUGGGGAAGUCUUGAACACAGCUUGGGCACAACACUGUGCUGAUAAAUGGAGAAAAAGCCAUGAAUUGUAGUGCUUAUUAGUUUUCCUGGUAUAAAUACUUAUUUCAAGGUUGCUGUCAUGUCACUUAUUAAACUUGGAUUUUGGAAGAGAUGCAUGGAGUUGAUACUUCCAGUAUAGCAUCAGCUGGCUUCCAUCACUGACUGGAGACACAGGAAGUCACUUCUCUGUUGCCUUCUUCCUGCUUGUGGUCUGAGAACAACAUAUUUGAAGCUCAGGUGGUGACCAUUCAGAGUGACGGUUCAAAUGUUCCCACUUUUACAACUAAAUUUAGGUUUCAGGUCUCUGAGAGAGGCAAACAGAUGUCUCUCCCAACAAAGGGCCAUUUAUCAACAAAUUACAUUCAGAGAUGAGGGAGUGAGCACAAACAGGUCCUGAGUCAGCCCCACAAUGUCUCAAGGACAGUUCUACAACCCCCUUGAAACUUACUCAAGUAUGUCCAAAGAUAAAAGCUCGGCCAAUUAAAAAUGUACUAAUGUAACUGCUGCUUGCUUAACCAAUCGUAUUUGAGAUGACCUAACUGUUCCUGAAAUUGCCCUAGCUGUGCUUAAAAGGGGCAUGCACACUCCUCUCAGGGUCGUUGCCAUUUUGUACAGUUGAACGACCCCACAUGCAUGUUGGAAUAUUAAUAAACGCUCUUUGCUCUUGCAUACUGUUUGAGUCCGGGUCUUCCUUCAGUGUUUCCUCGGAUCCUACAAGGGGAAGAUAAUGGCAAAAGGAAGGGAGAUCUGGUGGUGAGGAAUAGUGGAACUCACUUAUUAAUUUCCUAGGGUAGUAGAGACAAACUACUACAAAAAUGGGUGUUUUAGAGCAGUAGACAUCUACUCCCUUAAAGUUCUGUCUUCCAGGGUCUGAAAUCAAGGUGGUGGCAGAGUUGGUUCCUUCUAGAAUCUCCUAAUAUCUGAUGAUUUCUAGGUAUCCUUGGCAUUCAUUAACUGAAAUACAUACCACCCCAAGUCUGCCUCCACCCCAUGUCACUUUCUCUGUGUGCCUGUCUGGAUCGUUUCCUCAUAUAAGGACACUAAUAUGUGGUUUAGGACCCAAGAUAAUUUCAUCCCCAGAACCUUACAUACCCUCUAAAUCUUAUUUCCUCACAUUCUGAGGUUUCAGAUGGACAUUCUUUAUGAGACAAGAUCUGUGACUGUACACACACACACACACACACACACACACACACACACACACACACACAGAGAGAGAGAGAGAGAGAGAGAGAGAGAGAGAGAGAGAGAGAGAGAGAGAGAGAGAGAGAACAGGAAUAGUUACAAAGAGCUGGGCCGGGCUAGAGCUGGCCACCUGGCUCUAAAACCUUCCUCGUGAUGUCCUGAACAUCACAGAGGCUGUGAUCUGUUUCUUGAUUAUGGCCACAGGUUCUCAGGGUCUGUGAUGUCUGUGUCACUUUCCUCCUUCAUCAGCCUCUUUGUCCCCAAACCUAGUGACUGAAGAGUGGAAUGAUCCUGGUUUAGGUUUCAGCUAAGGCCACAGCUGGGCAAUUCUUUCCUUCCAUCACUUUCUAACUUUUUGAAGAUAAUUUGAGUAAAAAUGGCCCCAACCGUAAAUCCUGAUCUUAUUUAGUUUCAUACACUCUACUGAGUAGAAUAAGCUCUUAAGAAAUACCAGAAGAAUAAAUGAAGACACAGUCUACUUCAGUUGAUUAGGGUGCUUAAGUAUUAGAAAAUACUUUUCCAAUCUGAAAAAUAUAUACUAGUACCUUGGGUCAGUGGAAAACAGUGGCUGAGAAUUAGUUGGUCAGUUGUCAAAGGAUUCUCCCACCAAUGAGCACUCCUUUGGAUCUAGAACAGGAGCUACUACUGUCCAUGGAAACUCACGAGGGUCUUCCCCAGGUUCUGGUGAGGCAGUCAGCUUGGCAGGCCUGAGAGGGCAUGGAGAGGUCCCUGCGACCCAGUGUCAACUUUAAACCAUGUCUUGUGGAUACCCUCAGUUCUAUGUAUGAAACUCAUGCUUCAAAGGAAAGGUCAAAUUCCAGAGAAUGAGUCUGAACUCUAUUUAUGUGACUUAGAGAAGUUCAUAUCCUGGGAAUCGCCAGGGCUUUGGGGAUCUGCUACACCACUGAGAUCUCUUUUUCUCUGCCAAAAUUCUAUCUUUCCACCAUCAACUCUAUUUGCUAAUAUUGCUCACAUUUAUGGGCAUUGCUUAGGAGUCCCUAACAGACCUUUCCUAUUACUGUGGCUUCUACCUCACUAUAUCCCACAGUGUUGAUUUUGCUUUUGGGUUUUGGAUAUGUGGUUAUUUGGCUGGGUGAGUCCUGUGAUCACAAGAAACAAUGAGCACAUAAAACAUACCUCCUUUUAGAGGUAAGCACUGAUGCAUAUUCCAGAGCAGAGAGAUUCAAAUCAGCCCUAUAAAUCUCCCCACCAUGCUAUAUAUUCCACAUAUAAUGACGAGGAAGAAAUUCCUUAUGAAAUAGCUCAUGAUUAAGAGGUUUGUUCUCAUAUUGCUGGAAACCACAGGGAGGGGGUAAAGCUGGCCACUGAUGUCAGUGCCUCUCCAUGGCAUUUGUACUGAGGGUUUAAUCAUUCAUUAUUCAUUGUAAGAGUCUAAUAUGUGUGCAGUAGGGGGAUAUUAAUGGGGUGCAACUUGGGGUAUGCAUAGGUUUUACCUAUGAAUAUA